rnacentral:rRNA from 1 species
ACUCCUACGGGAGGCAGCAGUGGGGAAUAUUGCACAAUGAGGCAGCAAGCCUGAUGCAGCCAUGCCGCGUGAUGUAGCAAGAAUGGGCCUUCGGGUUGAUGAAGCACUUUUCAGUCGUGAGGAAGGUAGUGUAGUUAAUAGCUGCAUUAUUUGACGUUAGCGACAGAAGAAGCACCGGCUAACUCCGUGCCAGCAGCCGCGGUAAUACGGAGGGUGCGAGCGUUAAUCGGAAUUACUGGGCGUAAAGCGCAUGCAGGUGGUUUGUUAAGUCAGAUGUGAAAGCCCGGGGCUCAACCUCGGAAUUGCAUUUGAAACUGGCAGACUAGAGUACUGUAGAGGGGGGUAGAAUUUCAGGUGUAGCGGUGAAAUGCGUAGAGAUCUGAAGGAAUACCGGUGGCGAAGGCGGCCCCCUGGACAGAUACUGACACUCAGAUGCGAAAGCGUGGGAGCAAACAGGAUUAGAUACCCUGGUAGACUGUCAU